GGCGCAUUAGCUCGUCCCUCAACCAGAAGUGUCCGUCCUGAAACGUGCACCGGGAUCGCGAGGUUCCUGUUGUGAUAGAGUUCCGCCGUGAUCAAAUCGCUGAAUGGCAGGGCCCCUGUCGCUAUGAUCCCGAUACCGCUGGUCGUGGUGGUGCUAGGAGGAUGGUGUGCUCUUUAUCUAGCUGACACCUUACUGACGUCCUCAAAGACCUACAAGAGCACAUAUGAAGAAUGGCUUUCCACACACGGGCUCAGCAUCUCACCAUUUCACAUCCGCUGGCAAACUACGAUAUUUAACCGUCUAUUUUAUAAGUGGGGAAGAUGGAAGCCGUACUUUUUAUAUAUAUGGUUCAGCUUGGGCAUGGUGUUUGGAGUCCUCGCUAUGUUUGGGUCGAUGAUUUUACUGGGCAGGACGCUGAUACAGACAUUAAAUCAGAUGAUGACAGAUACCCCAGGGCCUCAGAAUGAUCGCAUGCUCCAAGUUGUGGUGCCUGGUGUAAACCUGCCCAUCAGCCAGCUGACAUACUUUUUCUCCGCAAUCCUCAUCAGUGGUGUCAUACACGAGGUCGGGCACGGAGUGGCAGCCGUCAGGGAAACUGUGCGAUUUAAUGGCUUUGGCAUGUUCAUGUUUGUGGUGUAUCCCGGGGCUUUUGUCGAUCUUUUCACCACUCACCUCCAGCUGGUUUCACCUGUUCAGCAGUUGCGGAUAUUUUGCGCAGGAGUCUGGCACAAUUUUAUUCUCGGCCUCCUGGGCAUCUUGAUAUUGUUUCCACUCCCAGCAAUUCUUUAUCCAUUUUACUAUACGAGUGUUGGGGCCCUUGUAACAGAAGUUUCAGAGGAAUCUCCAGCAAGUGGACCAAGAGGUUUAUUUGUUCGUGAUAUCAUAACUCAAGUUCAAGACUGUCCGGUGAGAAGUGUGGAUGACUGGCAUAAAUGCCUAGCCGACAUAUCCUUGAGGCCCCAAACAGGCUUCUGCCUAAGCACUGCAACUCUUCAACAACUGCACUUUCCCAGCAGAGUGUACAGGCGGCUGGAUGGAUCGGUAGAAUGUUGCGGUAACAACAGUUUUUCUGACAUCUGCUUCUCCUACAACGUUUAUGGGUACAGUCAGCAGUAUGCUUGUCUAGCGGCAAGGAAAGCGAUCCAUUCAAGUCCAGAAUGUCAGUCUAAUUCAGACUGUCAGAAGUCAGCUGCUAACAGUGUCUGUGCCAUCCCAUCCAUAGAGAAUCAGACUCGUCUGAUCAGAGUGAAGCAUCCUCCUCAACUAGAUAUGUUAUUUAUAGGAUAUCCUGCACACCUAGAAUAUGGAGUGAGCCUGAGCAGUUUCAUUCCUCGAUACAAGUUUCUCAGUGUCAGCCUUCCAGUGGUAAUAGAGACCUUCUGCAAAUAUGUGAUUUCUCUCUCCGGGGCGCUGGCGGUGAUCAAUGCUGUUCCUUGCUUUGCACUGGAUGGACAGUGGAUACUAAACUCAUUCCUUGAAGCCACGCUGAGUUCUCUCAUAGUGGAGAAGGAGAACAGAGAACUUUUGGGGUUUUUCAUUCUUUUAGCAGGCAGUAUACUGCUAACUGCUAAUGUGGUCCUUGGACUUUGGAUGGUGACAGCUCGGUAGCCACGUGUCUUUUUUGGAUGAAAGCCUUUGGAACAUCUCCAUUCAUUCUCCAUUUAAUGGGUUUGACUUUAAGUCAUGCACUAUUGUUUAGUUCUUCUUUUUUAUUAGCCAGAGAAUGUCUGUCUGAUAAGUGACCAAAAUCCCAGGAUCGUGAGUUUGUGAACAGAAGCAUGCAGACCCCACUAAAGGGAACAGUUUAGUGACAAGCGAGGAGCUUGACUUUUAUGGUCCAUUGGAAUGAUACAUAAUGUGAUUGACCAGAGGCUGGUGGUCUGGAAUAAAGACAAUUACAGAUAAUGCAAUAUUGUACAUCUCAAAAUCCAAAGGAAAAGCUUUUGAAGACCAAUACUCCCGCGAUGACUAGUGCCCUACUUUUCCAUAUGUUUGAUUGUGAACACAGUAGAGAUUUACAGUAGUAAUUUUUCUACACUCUGUAUUGCUAUAGCAUUUAUCCUAGCUGCCGACCCACAGGAACAUGUGGUAAGGUCCUGUGUGCAUAUGAUUUUUCGUUACAUUUCUGUUAAGGGAUAAGGCAGUGCUACCAUUUUAUGGCUAGGUGCAACUUGAGUUAGUGGGGCCCUACUGUAUUACAUGAUUCAGUUUUUUUUAUACCAUACAGUGGCACAUAGAGUGCCUGCAACCUCCAUAAUUCAUUCAUGACAAGUCUGUGACAGCCAUCUGUAAUUUAAUAAUGUAUUUUUUUGCAAUAAUUUUUAAAUGGUAUAGAGAUGCAUCUCCAUUUCUCAAUACUGUCAAAUAACUAAAUUUAGUCUGCAAAUACCAUCUGAGCUCCUAAAAUGCUCUUUUCAGCUUGAAGCCGACAGCUUUGGACACAAAUAGAGAAGAAACUAGAUAUGAUUCAUAAGGGUUUCCUCCUAACAUUCUCCCAGCCCUCUGGUAGGGAGUACCUAAUAGAGAAAAACAAAAGAGAGGGACCGUGCCUCGUGUAUUACCCAAGACACUUAGAUGGGAUAGGGGGGUGGAUGGGUAGCACCAGCCUUUCGGUUGGCCGCUCACCUUGUUGAGGAUAAUCUGCGCUUAUCACCCCUAGAUAGGGGUAUAUUCGUAGUAGAAGUGAACUGCAAAGCCCAAAGGGUCACAGGGAUGGAGGGUCCAAUCCUGUUGAAUGUGGUAGAUGAGGGGAAAGAAAUGACCCGUACAUCAGGCGCUGUUCGAAGUUCCAGUCGAUGAAUACAUUUUCAGAUGUAGCAUUUAAAGUACGAUUUGGUACUAUGUUUAUUAAGGAAACCAAUGACGCGUUUCUGAGGUAGAGCUCUCCUUCCUCAGAUUGGCAUGACAUUUUACAUUUUGUUAAGUUGCGGCCUUGUAGGUAAAUUAAAAUAAGAAAAAAUUAGGUUCCUCUCAACCCCCCCCCCAUCUCUCUGCACUGAAAACCCCUUAAGGAUGCUGCCUGUUUUUACCUAAAUGACCAGGCCCAAUUUUUCAAAACUGUCCUGUGUCUCUUUAAGUGGUAAUAACUUUGACAUACUUUUACUGAGUGACGCAAUUCUGAAAUAGUUUUUUCGUGAUAUAUUGUACUUUUAUAUUAGUGGUAAAUCUUUGUUGAUUCAUGCAGCAUUUUGCAAUCUCAUGCAGUAUGCAUGCAUCCAGUUGCAUUAACCCCUCAAGGGCGCAGCAAAUUUUUGCCUUAAGGACGCAGCCCUUUUUCGCAAUUCUGACACUUUAAGCAUUAAUAACUCUAAGAUGCUUUUACCGAUUAUUCUGAUUCUGAGAGUUUUUUCGUGACAUAUUCUACUUUAUGUUAGUGGUAAAUUUUCGUCGUUACUUGCAUCCUUUCUUGGUGAAAAAUCCCAAAAUUUCAUGAAAAUUUUGAAUAUUUUGCAUUUUUCUAAAUUUGAAGCUCUCUGCUUGUAAGGAAAUUGGACAUUCCAAAUAAAUGUUAUAUUGAUUCCCAAAUACAAUAUGUCUUCUUUAUGUUGGCAUCAUAAAAUGGACAUAUUUUUACUUUUUGAAAAAAUUAGAGGGCUUCAAAGUAGAGCAGCAAUUUUCAAAAUUUUCAUGAAAAUUGCCAAAUCUGAAGGGACACAUGUUACAGAACUACAACUCCCAGCAUGCAUGGGCAGUCUAGGCAUGCUGAGAGUUGUAGUUUGGCAACAUCUGGGGGGCCACCGUUUGGGCACCACUGUAAUAGUGGUCUCCAAACUGUGACCCUCCAGAUGUUGCAAAACUACAACUUCCAGCAUGCCCAGACAGCCUUUGCAUACGUCCUAUCUCCGGAUACAUUCUCACAAUAGGACUAUGCAUACAUCCUAUUGUUGUUCUGCUCUGCACAAUACACUGCAGAAGAUCGGUGGCGGGACACAGCUAUCAAUCAUAACCGUGGUCUCGCCACAGCUGCCGAGACCAAGAUCGCUCUGGAUUUGGCAGCCAUAACCCAAUAGAUGACAUGGUCAGUACUGGCCAUGGCUUCUAUAGGAUUGACAGUGGAAGGGAGACUAGCCCUGUCUCCAUCAGCCAUCCCGCAAUGCGAUCUCGGAGUACCAAUGGUUGCCAUGGCAGCAGGAAGCUGCCAGCCAUAGAGUGUUAGUGUAAUACUGACAGUAAUGCUGUGCUUCAUUACAGAUUAACUGCAGCAUAAUAUAACAGGAAAAAUGUAUAAAAAUAAAAGGUUUAUCAGUAAAUAAAUAAAAUAAAUGCACCUUUCCCAAUAAAGCACUGUAUUAUAAAAAAAAAAGCAAAAAGCAAACCUAUACAUACCUAUAUAAAUUUGAUACCGCCAAAUUGUACCAACCCACAGAAUACAGAUAACAACAUCAUUUUUACCACACAGUGAGCGCCAUAAAAAAGUAAACAAUGCCAGAAAUUUCACAUAAAAUGCUGCAUGUAUCAACAAAAAUUUACCACUAAUAUAAAAUACAAUAUGUCACGAAAAAACUAUCAUAGAAUCACUUCACUCAGUGAAAUCAUUUCAUCGUUAUUACCACUUACAGAGACGCAUGUCAGAUUUAAGAAAUGGGUUCUGAUCAUUAAGGUAAAAACAGGCUUUCUCCUUUAAUGGGGUACUCCCCAAUCUGUUUGACUUUUUGGCACCAGUUGAUUAAAAAAAUAGGUUUUCCACUGGAGUACCCCUUUAACCCCUUGCCGCAGAACGACGGGUACACCCGUCGCUGCGGCACGGGAGGGUUAUGAAGCGAGCUCAGGAGCUGAGCUCGCAUCAUACCCGCACGGUCCCGGCUGCUAUCGGCAGCCAGGACCCUUGGCUAAUGCCGGACAUCGCCGUUCCGGCAGAUGUCCGGCAUUAACUCUUUAGACGCGGCGAUCAAAGUUGAUCGCUGCGUGUGAAAGUAGAAGCAUCCCGGCAGCUCAGUCGGGCUGAUCGGGACAUCGCGAUGUCCCGAUCCGCUAGGAUGCAGCAGGAGGGUGCCUUACCUGCCUCCUGCACGUCCGAACGGCGAUUGAUUGCUGCAAGGCUUGAGAAAUCAACAGCCGAUAACACUGAUCAAUGCAAAGCUAUGGCUUUGCAGUGAUCUGUGUAAAAUAUCAGUGUGUACAGUGUUAUAGCCCCCUAUGGGAGCUAUAACACUGCAAAAAAAGUUAAUGAAGACGCUUAAUAAAAGUUUGAAUCACCCCCCUUUUCCCAUAAAAAAAAAAACUAAACUGUGUGAAUAAAAAUAAACAUAUAUGGUAUCGCCGCGUGCGUAAAUGUCCGAACUAUAAAAAUAUAUUGUUAAUUAAACUGCACGGUCAAUGGCGUACGCACAAAGAAAUUCCAAAAUAGUGUAUUUUUGGUCACUUUUUAGAACAUAAAAAAAUGAAUAAAAAGCAUUAAAAAAUAAAUCAAAAAGUCCGAUCAAAACAAAAAUGGUACCGAUAAAAACUUCAGAUCACGGCACAAAAAAUUUGCCCUCAUAUCGCCCCAUACAUGGAACAAUAAAAAAAAGUUAUAGGGGUCAGAUUAGGACAAUUUUAAACGUAUACAUUUUCCUGCAUGUAGAAAAAACAAAAGUGCAAAAACGGAUAAAUGCUGUGUCCUUAAGGGGUUAAAGGGGUACUCCGGUGGAAAACAUUGUUUUCUUAAAUCAACUCGUGCAAGAAAAUUAAAUAGAUUUGUAAAUUACUUUUUUUUAUUAC